rnacentral:rRNA from 1 species
GGAGGAUCAUUACCGAGUUUACAACUCCCAAACCCAUGUGAACAUACCUACUGUUGCUUCGGCGGGAUUGCCCCGGGCGCCUCGUGUGCCCCGGAUCAGGCGCCCGCCUAGGAAACUCAACUCUUGUUUUAUUUUGGAAUCUUCUGAGUAGUUUUUACAAAUAAAUAAAAACUUUCAACAACGGAUCUCUUGGUUCUGGCAUCGAUGAAGAACGCAGCGAAAUGCGAUAAGUAAUGUGAAUUGCAGAAUUCAGUGAAUCAUCGAAUCUUUGAACGCACAUUGCGCCCGCCAGUAUUCUGGCGGGCAUGCCUGUCUGAGCGUCAUUUCAACCCUCAUGCCCCUAGGGCGUGGUGUUGGGGAUCGGCCAAAGCCCGCGAGGGACGGCCGGCCCCUAAAUCUAGUGGCGGACCCGUCGUGGCCUCCCCUGCGAAGUAGUGAUAUUCCGCAUCGGAGAGCGACGAGCCCCUGCCGUUAAACCCCCAACUUUCCAAGGUUGACCUCAGAUCAGGUAGGAAUACCCGCUGAACUUAAGCAUAUCAAUAAGCGGAGGAA